rfam:Picea glauca, whole genome shotgun sequence.
ACAUGCCUACAACAUAGUGUUAAUGCAUCAGAUCCCAUUAGACUUAUGCAGUUAAGCACGCUCAUGCUAGAGUAGUAUUGGGAUGGAUGACCGCUUGAGAAGUCCUACUGUUUUACAUGCC